rnacentral:rRNA from 1 species
GACGAACGCUGGCGGCGUGCCUAAUACAUGCAAGUAGAACGCACAGUUUAUACCGUAGCUUGCUACACCAUAGACUGUGAGUUGCGAACGGGUGAGUAACGCGUAGGUAACCUGCCUGGUAGCGGGGGAUAACUAUUGGAAACGAUAGCUAAUACCGCAUAAUAUUAAUUAUUGUAUGAUAAUUAAUUGAAAGGUGCAAUUGCACCACUACCAGAUGGACCUGCGUUGUAUUAGCUAGUAGGUGAGGUAACGGCUCACCUAGGCGACGAUACAUAGCCGACCUGAGAGGGUGAUCGGCCACACUGGGACUGAGACACGGCCCAGACUCCUACGGGAGGCAGCAGUAGGGAAUCUUCGGCAAUGGACGAAAGUCUGACCGAGCAACGCCGCGUGAGUGAAGAAGGUUUUCGGAUCGUAAAGCUCUGUUGUAAGAGAAGAACGGGUGUGAGAGUGGAAAGUUCGCACUGUGACGGUAUCUUACCAGAAAGGGACGGCUAACUACGUG